UCAGAAUCAACGCUGGCGGCGUGCCUAACACAUGCAAGUCGAACGAGAAAGUCCCGCAAGGGAUGAGUAAAGUGGCGCACGGGUGAGUAACACGUAGCUAACCUGCCCUCGAGUGGGGGGAGUAACCUGGGGGAAACUCGGGCUAAUACCGCAUAACGUCCUGGUUGCGCGAGCAGCCGGGAUCAAAAGUCCGCAAGGACCGCUCAAGGAGGGGGCUGCGGCCGAUUAGCUAGUUGGUGAGGUAACGGCCCACCAAGGCGACGAUCGGUAGCCGGCCUGAGAGGGCGCACGGCCACACUGGCACUGAAACACGGGCCAGACUCCUACGGGAGGCAGCAGUGGGGAAUUUUGCACAAUGCCCGAAAGGGUGAUGCAGCAACGCCGCCGUGAGGGAUGAAGGCCUUCGGGUCGUAAACCUCUUUCGAUCGGGAAAAACGGGCUGGUGAAUAGCCAGCUCUGAUGGUACCGGAUGAAGAAGCCCCGGCUAACUACGUGCCAGCAGCUGC
rnacentral:rRNA from 1 species